UACGAAGGGUGCAAGCGUUGUCCGGAUUUAUUGGGCGUAAAGAGUUCGUAGGUGGUUUGUUAAGUCUGAUGUUAAAGACUGGGGCUCAACCUCGGAAAUGCAUUGGAUACUGGCAGACUUGAGUGUGGUAGAGGCAAUCGGAAUUCCAAGUGUAGCGGUGAAAUGCGUAGAUAUUUGGAGGAACACCGGUGGCGAAAGCGACUUUCUGGGCCAUUCCUGACGCUGAGGAACGAAAGCGUGGGGAGCAAACAGG
rnacentral:rRNA from 1 species